AACGAACGCUGGCGGCAGGCCUAACACAUGCAAGUCGAGCGCCCCGCAAGGGGAGCGGCAGACGGGGGAGUAACGCGUGGGAAUACAUGCAGUUCUAAGGAAUAACCCAGGGAAACAUGGACUAAUACCGUAUACGCCCCCCGGGGGAAAGAUUUAUCGGAAUUGGAUGAGCCCGCGUUGGAUUAGCUAGUUGGUGGGGUAAUGGCCUACCAAGGCGACGAUCAAUAGCUGGUCUGAGAGGAUGAUCAGCCACACUGGGACUGAGACACGGCCCAGACUCCUACGGGAGGCAGCAGUGGGGAAUAUUGGACAAUGGGCGAAAGCCUGAUCCAGCCAUGCCGCGUGAGUGAUGAAGGCCUUAGGGUUGUAAAGCUCUUUCACCGAUGAAGAUAAUGACGGUAGUCGGAGAAGAAGCCCCGGCUAACUUCGUGCCAGCAGCCGCAGUAAAAC
rnacentral:rRNA from 1 species